rnacentral:rRNA from 1 species
UACGUAGGGUGCGAGCGUUGUCCGGAAUUAUUGGGCGUAAAGGGCUCGUAGGCGGUCUGUUGCGUCGGGAGUGAAAACUCAGGGCUUAACCCUGAGCCUGCUUCCGAUACGGGCAGACUAGAGGUAUGCAGGGGAGAACGGAAGUUCCUGGUGUAGCGGUGAAAUGCGCAGAUAUCAGGAGGAACACCGAUGGCGAAGGCAGGUCUCUGGGCAUUGAACUGACGCUGAGGAGCGAAAGCAUGGGGAGCGAACAGG